rnacentral:rRNA from 1 species
AGUGAACGCUGGCGGUAGGCCUAACACAUGCAAGUCGAACGGCAGCACAGUAAGAGCUUGCUCUUACGGGUGGCGAGUGGCGGACGGGUGAGGAAUACAUCGGAAUCUACUUUUUCGUGGGGGAUAACGUAGGGAAACUUACGCUAAUACCGCAUACGACCUACGGGUGAAAGCAGGGGAUCAUCGGACCUUGCGCGAUUGAAUGAGCCGAUGUCGGAUUAGCUAGUUGGCGGGGUAAAGGCCCACCAAGGCGACGAUCCGUAUCUGGUCUGAGAGGAUGAUCAGCCACACUGGAACUGAGACACGGUCCAGACUCCUACGGGAGGCAGCAGUGGGGAAUAUUGGACAAUGGGCGCAAGCCUGAUCCAGCCAUACCGCGUGGGUGAAGAAGGCCUUCGGGUUGUAAAGCCCUUUUGUUGGGAAAGAAAAGCAGCAGGUUAAUACCCCGCUGUUCUGACGGUACCCAAAGAAUAAGCACCGGCUAACUUCGUG